ensembl:lncRNA
AUGCAAAGCUGCUACCUUCACCAGACGGUGCAGGAAAUCAGAAACACACCAGGCCAAGGCAGUUCUGAAUCCGUAGUGGAGCAAGUCAGAACACCUCUCAAAGUCACUCACACGUACGCCACAGCCUGUGUCAACAAGAGACACCGUAGGAGCCCUAACGCUGCAGGAUGGAGAAAGGUGAACAGGAAACAGAAGGUGCCCAUGGAGGAGGUAUAUGACAUCUGUCAGGAUCCAGGGUGGGCGGGGGAUUCAGCGCCCCCCUUCUGCCGGCCGAGGGUCACCCAUCGCACUGCAGUCGCUGAAGUUGUCACGACACCGUGACACUUCCUUGGCAAUGGUGGCUGAGAGCCGGACAGCCCUCGGACGUUCAAGACACACACAUAUUUUUGAGUAAAUUUGUCUGAGGGGAGUGGGGGGCAUUUUGUAUGAGCUGUUUGUUCCUUCUCUGUACAGAAAUGUCAGCGUCUUGCUUGUUGUUUCCUCUUUCUUUUUUUCCCCCCUUCCCCUCUCUCUUCAGGGUCCUGGAUAGAGGAAGGUCAGCUGACACGGCAAGGUCGACAAACAAACAAACAGAAGGAAUUAAAAUGGAGAAAAACAGGGCAGAUGAAAUGUGGCGGUGUUUUUUUUUGUUUGUGUUUUUUUAUCUGUGUGAGGGCUGAUGGCUUGUAGCAGCCAUUACUCUCUGUUGUGUCCUCUGCCCCCCAUUGGUUGCAACAACACCGCCUGGCACUGCUGCCAGUGUCACGUCAUCUCAUACUUCUGCUUAACUACACGGACAACAAGGGCCACUUCACACCAGGAUCAGUUUACUAUUUCUCAGGCAGCCGUGUUUGCUCAAGGUGGCAAAGGUCAUUCACAGUGGAUUUGAUAAAAAUAAUUUUCCUCAGCCAGCAUGAGUUCAAAUUAGAUUUUAUCCCUUUUUUUUUCUCCUCGCCCUCUCUCUAUAUGAAGGGGAAAACAAAGGAAGUAUACCCGCAAAAGUCCACUCAAACACUUCACAGUAGCCUGGACCCAGACCUCUAGCUCGCUGCCAAAUAUCUGAUUUCUUCAUGAAAUGGCAAUUCAGUCUGAUUAUCUCAUCAGGCUAAUUGGAGCAUCUUAAUGUUCUGUCUAAACUGAUGAUGUCUGGCUACCCUCGCUUUUACAGCAUUUAUCACACAAACCAAAUGACAAUACGUUGACCUCAUGAUUAGCUCGGCUAGUCCACAAACAGACAGUUUAUAAAGAGAGAUUUGUUUGUUUGGUUGAAAAUCGUUUUAGAGUGAAAGAUGAGAAAUGUGGAUAAAUUAUAACUCUGAACUGAUCUUAAAGUCCUAAAUUCAUUCACAUUUAAUCUAUAGAGUGCAGGAAACUGUGCUGUAGGUACAUUUUAGGACAGUUUUAAACCAUAAACAAUUUUAUAGCCCUCUUGAGUGGCAGUCUUGUGAAAAGAUGAAGGAAUGUUGUUAUAGAUCAUGAUUUGAAAGUAAAGCCUUGCCUAGAAUUGUUUUUUACCAGCUAUUGUGCAGAGUGCAAAGCACAAAGUCGAGCGAAUUCAGACUCAAGUGCAAGCAUGAAAGUUUUUCUGGUGCUAAAUUAAUUUCCAACUCGGGCUUACAGAUGAAAAAGAAUGAUGCCGUCAUUUAGGCUUCACCGCGUGGAGCCGGCUCAGGCUGCUGCAGGUGAAGCCUGGGCCUCACCCUCGCAGAUCUGUAUGCAGAGUGUGCCUUUAAAAAAAAACAUGUUUCUUUUGUUUAUUCUUUGCGUUGUCUUUUCCUUUCUGUGUGGAGUUUUGACAUCGGAGAUGACAGGUGUCUGUGGAGUGGAGGAGGAGGAGGAGGAGGAGGAGAUGCUGGUAAGAAAACAAUCUUUGACUGCCUGUGGGUGAAGGCAGACUCCUCUAGGCAAAGCGGCCUUCAGCGUUUAGCUGGGGGCGCAGUAUCAAAAUCACAGCCACUGCUGUACCCCUAAGGCGCUAAUCUCAGCCAGUUACCGUCAAGUGCUGCUUCUUCUUUAUAUAAUCCUUCAUUCCCCCCCUUCCCUCGGCUCUCUCCAUCUCCGCCAUUCCUCCGUUUUCCCAGACCCAAUCCGCAGAGAUGUGAGGAUAAAUGACAGUUUGAGAAGGUGCAGGGGAAGCCAGGCAUCUUGAAUCCAACAUUGUUUCUUUGCUUACCAGUGUUAAAUCCAAACUGCGCCGCUUUCAGAAAAACGGUUUGCUGGAAUUGUAAUAUCAUAAUUAGCACGGCUUCUGCGCUUAUCUCCACUAAACUAGGCGUCUCACCAGAUGCCGAGGAGACCUCAGCCGUCAUUCAGCCGCCUAGAUGGAAAAGGGUUGUUGUUUGAUCACUGGAUGACUGCUAAUUUAAUAAGUGUUAACUAUGGUGCGGCCAAGCGAGCGGGAGGAAAAAAAAAAAAGAGAAAAAAGGGAGGGAAAAUGUUGAAGUAAAAAGCAUUAAGAUUAACUGAUGACAUGUUCAACUGUGCGCAUAAUAUGAGGCUUAGUUAAGUACGCGCAUGCUGUUUGUCAAUUAUUUAAAACCCCAGGAAAUUAAGUCCAGGUAAUCUCAUAAGGUGUAAAUAACAUUCUUUUUCAUGGCAGCUUAAUUGAAUUCAUUUGACACUGUUUAGAAAUAACAGAAUUAGAUUUGCUUUCACAUGAAACCAAAGACUGUCACAGGGAGCUCUUUGUAAAGUUGAAUAGAAUUGGAAUUAAAGUUUAGUAUUUCAAACACAUCUGGAGGGAUCAGAUAUGAGAAUAAUUGAAAUAACAGAGGAUUACUCGUGCUCCCUGCCUUUUGCAAAAGAAACCAGUGCGGACUACAGUAAUGUUUGCAGCACGUCAGAGGUCAGAACUGACCUGUUAUCUGUGGGAGAGCAGCACAUAAAUGCCCCCAAAUGCAAAACAUUUGGCAUUAAAAAGGAUCUCGACCCUCUGCUGACUUGUAAAUGGGGAAUAAAUUCAAUUUCUACUCUCACUUCAAAACAUUUUCUGUGAUUAUUUUAAUCUUCAGUGUUUCACGUGGAAAGUAACUUUAGUUUUCGUACAUUUAUUUGUUUGCCACUGCCGGUUAUUCCACUGCAGGCCCCCACUAUAUUAAAGCAUAAGCUGAAGACCUAAAAAAGAUAAGUAAAUGUGUUGCUGGUGAGGAAUGAAGCAAAGAUGUUUGACAGCGGGUUGUAAAGACCAGGCAAGCCAUGCAGACACAGAGACAGUGGCCUCAGGCAUUUCUGAUUUGGCCUUACUAGUGGGAUGGCAUGGCUUGACGCUGUUUAAACACACACACACGCGCGCGCGGACAAACACACCCACGAAGAGUUUUGAUGCAGACUGUAGGUGAAGGCCAGUGUAUGUCUGUCUUGUCUUGUGAGUGAGCGGGGCCGGAGAUGGAAGCUGGGUAGACAGAUUGGAGGGACGCAGGAGAAGAGGGGAAAUGGAGGGAUUAGAUGAAACCUUUCAGUGCGUGUCAUCAUCCCUGACAUUCUGUAGGGCUUGACCUUAACAGAGCAACAUUGUGUCAGAGACAGGGUCUCAUCACAGCCCACACACACACACACACACACACACAUAUAUGCGCACAGAAAACUCAGAGAUCCCGACAGCCCGGACAUCAACACCCAACAUAUUUUCAACCUGGGAAUAAAAACAGAUAAGUCAGGUGAUCCUAAAAGUCAAGUAUCAACAACUGAGGAACUAUCAUGUAUCUCUGAUAUGAUGCUCUGUGAUGACCUAUUUACUGAUUAGUGAGUGAUUACACUUGUUUUGUGCAAUUUAAGAAAACGUGAUGAAAGAGUUUUCGUGGAUGUGUUGCUUUCCCAAAUUUGCACACUGUUGGUAGCGUGCUUUCCUUUCAAAUUUCAUUUAUUUAUUGCCUGGUAUUUCUGGUCCGGUUGGUGUUCACAUCAGCUUUUGAAAUCAACAGUAAAAAGAAGAAAAGCAGACACAAGUACUGACAGGUGACUCGUUUUUUGACGACUAUCACUCAUCAUCGUUGCCGCGUCCCAAGGGGAAAUCAAGAUUCUUUGAUAGGCACCAGGAACUGCAGCUCUGCUACUGAUCCUUACAUGUACAGCAGAUUUACAUUCUCCGGCAUCACAAGGUUGAAAGAAAAAUAUUACACGCGCCAUUAGUUAUGAUCACAACCUUGUUAUAAAUGACAAACAUAGGGAAACAGGACAAAACGAGACUCCGGGGUUUCGUUUUACACUUCCAUGGCAGAAGAGAGAUAAGAGAAAAUCAAAGAGAUAUGACUUUUAGUCAUUUCACAUCAAACUUUAAAACUGUAAGACUGAUUUCAGUAGUGCAGCUUCACAUGACACCGUUUUCUACCCAAAUGGGCAGUUUUGGCUGCUAUUAUCGAGGAUAAAGUGGGCUCACAAUGGUGGCAGUACCCCAAUAAAAUCAAUUACAUUAAAAUUUCAAUAUAUUAAAAACUAAUUAUUAUUUCUUAAGUACAUGAAUACUUCCAGUCCCUCAGCCUAACUUUGGCAUAUCAUAACAUUUAUUAAUUCUGCUGAGAGGAUAUAGGACUUACCAACACAACCACCAACCUGCAGCUUUAGCGUUGUUGUUUGUUUUUCAGCUAUAUUUUCACUGUAACAGGAGCCUCUAUGCUUCCAGCACUGCAAAAUUAUUAUUUGUUUGGCUUUUUCAUGGAAUGGCAUUCUGCGUAAUUCUCUCUCUUUCUCACCCACCCCCACCUCAUGCAUGUGUGUGUCGCAGGGAAUAUUGUCAAGGCUUGUUGCCAACUUUAAAUAAAACCUAUUAUUCUUGUUAUUUGAGCCGUCCCUUUAUGUAUGUUUUUUCUUUUUUUUCAUUUGAGGGCAAAAAUGGAAAGUAGUUUUUAAGUUUCACUGCACGAUGUGCACACAGAGAUUUGUGUCCUUAGCCGU